AACGCAGCGAAGGGCGAUAAGUAAUGUGAAUUGCAGAAUUCAGUGAAUCAUCGAAUCUUUGAACGCACCUUGCGCUCCCUGGUAUUCCGGGGAGCACGCCUGUUCGAGUGUCACGAAAUUUCUCAAGCUAGGAUGGCUUUUUGUCUGUCCUUAGCCUUGGUUGUUGGGCUUUGCCGUGUCCUUCAUUGGGACGGCUGGCCUUAAAAGCAUUAGCUGAUCCUCGUGUGGCACUGGUUCUACUCAGCGUGAUAACAGUCUGAUCGCUGAGGACAUCUUUUGGGAUGGCCAGUCCUCAUUUGGGUUGCUUCUAAACUUGGUUUCGCGGAUUGUUCAAUCUGCGUUCCACUUUUCAGCUUUGACCUCGAAUCAGGUGGGACUACCCGCUGAACUUAA
rnacentral:rRNA from 1 species